GAUGAAGAACGUAGCAAAAUGCGAUAAGUAAUGUGAAUUGCAGAAUUCAGUGAAUCAUCGAAUCUUUGAACGCACAUUGCGCCCGCCAGUAUUCUGGCGGGCAUGCCUGUUCGAGCGUCAUUUCAACCCUCAAGCCCUCGGGUUUGGUGUUGGGGAUCGGCGAGCCUUUCUGGUAAGCCGGCCCCGAAAUCUAGUGGCGGUCUCGCUGCAGCCUCCAUUGCGUAGUAGUAAAACCCUCGCAACUGGAACGCGGCGCGGCCAAGCCGUUAAACCCCCAACUUCUGAAUGUUGACCUCGGAUCAGGUAGGAAUACCCGCUGAACUUAAGCAUAUCAAUAAGCGGAGGA
rnacentral:misc_RNA from 1 species